UUCCACAAAAAACUCUAAAAGAGAGAGAGAGAGAGAGAAAAGGCCCGCUAAGUCGAAACUUGAAAACAAGUGGCUUAGGCAAAAAUUAGGGUAUCCCGAUGGACUGUAAGCAAAAAAAAAAUAGUCCAGGCAAAAUUAUGGAAGUCGAAAAACAAAAAAAAAAGCAGAAGAGGAAUCAAAAAUAAAAAUCCUCAGCAAGAACAAAGACGUGUGACUGCAAACACAAAAAUAGGAAGGCAAGUGACUGUCACUC
rnacentral:lncRNA from 1 species